AAUAGUCAGUAAAAAUCGAGGCUAUGUCGGAUGUGGCUGUCUUUACGGUCCCGUCAGGGUGUUUCAGCGAUGCAAUAUGGUGACGCGCCGGUCUUGGUCUCAGCAUGCGGGCUAGGAGGGUGUCCAUUUUGUUCGCCUUCUCAUAGUAGGUCCGUCUGGACCAGAGAAGGCUGCGGGUCGCGUCGUCCAGGAGAAGCUCCCGUACCGCCCGCCUAGCCGUGUUUAGCUGAUCCAGCGUGGACGCAGUGGGAGAGGUUUUGUGACAUUGUUCCCUCGCGCGCAGGGCC